rnacentral:rRNA from 1 species
GAUGAACGCUGGCGGCGUGCUUAACACAUGCAAGUCGAACGGUGAAGCAGGAGCUUGCUCUUGUGGAUCAGUGGCGAACGGGUGAGUAACACGUGAGCAACCUGCCCCUGACUCUGGGAUAAGCGCUGGAAACGGCGUCUAAUACUGGAUAUGUGAUGUGACCGCAUGGUCUGCAUCUGGAAAGAAUUUCGGUUUGGGAUGGGCGCGCGGCCUAUCAGCUUGUUGGUGGGGUAAUGGCUGACCAAGGCGUCGACGGGUAGCCGGCCUGAGAGGGUGACGGGCCACACUGGGACUGAGAUACGGCCCAGACUCCUACGGGAGGCAGCAGUGGGGAAUAUUGCACAAUGGGCGCAAGCCUGAUGCAGCGACGCCGCGUGAGGGAUGACGGCCUUCGGGUUGUAAACCUCUUUCAGCAUCGACGAAGCGAAAGUGACGGUAGGUGCAGAAGAAGGACCGGCCAACUACGUGCCAGCAGCCGCAGUAA